GACGAACGCUGGCGGCGUGCUUAACACAUGCAAGUCGAACGGAAAGGCCCUGCUUUUGUGGGGUGCUCGAGUGGCGAACGGGUGAGUAACACGUGAGUAACCUGCCCUUGACUUUGGGAUAACUUCAGGAAACUGGGUCUAAUACCGGAUAGGAGCUCCUGCUGCAUGGUGGGGGUUGGAAAGUUUCGGCGGUUGGGGAUGGACUCGCGGCUUAUCAGCUUGUUGGUGGGGUAGUGGCUUACCAAGGCUUUGACGGGUAGCCGGCCUGAGAGGGUGACCGGCCACAUUGGGACUGAGACACGGCCCAGACUCCUACGGGAGGCAGCAGUGGGGAAUAUUGCACAAUGGGCGGAAGCCUGAUGCAGCAACGCCGCGUGCGGGAUGACGGCCUUCGGGUUGUAAACCGCUUUCGCCUGUGACGAAGCGUGAGUGACGGUAAUGGGUAAAGAAGCACCGGCUAACUACGUG
rnacentral:rRNA from 1 species